rnacentral:misc_RNA from 1 species
GAUGAAGAACGCAGCGAAAUGCGAUAAGUAAUGUGAAUUGCAGAAUUCAGUGAAUCAUCGAAUCUUUGAACGCACAUUGCGCCCGCCAGUAUUCUGGCGGGCAUGCCUGUUCGAGCGUCAUUUCAACCAUCAAGCCCCAGGCUUGUGUUGGGGACCUGCGGCUGCCGCAGGCCCUGAAAACCAGUGGCGGGCUCGCUGUCACACCGGGCGUAGUAGAUUUUAUCUCGCUCAGGGCGUGCUGCGGGUUCCGGCCGUUAAAAAGCCUUUUUUACCCAAGGUUGACCUCGGAUCAGGUAGGUAGACCCGCUGAACUUAAGCAUAUCAAUAAGCGGAGGA